AAAAAAAAAAAAGAAAACGAAAAAUGAAGCACCGAAUGUCGUCUGAAUCUAUACUCUCGGUCUUAACCGAGGAUUUACUCGUUCGGGUCAAUGACAAACUCAGUGACGAGUCAGAUCGCAAAAGGUGGCGACUCGUUUGCAAAGAAUUUCUCCGAGUCGAUAUCCUAACUCGUAAAACUCUCCGUGUCCUCCGCGUCGAGUUCCUAGCGGCUCUUCUUCGCAAGCACAGUAACAUUGAUACCCUAGACCUCUCCGUGUGUUCAAGUAUUGACGACGGGAUGAUUUCUCUUCUGCUGAGUUGUGAGCCUGAGGGAUGGGCUCGGAAGCUGAAAUCUUUGAACUUGAGUAGGGCCACCGGACUGAAAUUCUUGGGGCUGGAGAUGCUGGUUCGGGCGUGCCCGUUUCUGGAGCGGGUCGACGUGUCGUAUUGUUGCAGUUUCGGAGACAGGGAGGCGGCGGCCAUAUCGUGUGCUGGAGGGUUGAGGGAGCUGACGAUGGACAAGUGCUUGGGAGUGAGUGAUGUUGGGUUAGCGAAGAUUGCUGUGGGUUGUGGGAAAUUGAAGAGGCUAAGCUUGAAGUGGUGCA
rnacentral:misc_RNA from 1 species